GACGGAGGAGGCAAGCGUUAUCCGGAAUUAUUGGGCGUAAAGCGUCCGCAGGUGGCGAUUCAAGUCUGCUGUCAAAGGUCGGGGCUUAAACCCGGGAAGGCAGUGGAAACUGAAUAGCUAGAGUGCGGUAGGGGCAGAGGGAAUUCCCGGUGUAGCGGUGAAAUGCGUAGAGAUCGGGAAGAAUACCAGUGGCGAAAGCGCUCUGCUGGGCCUGCACUGACACUGAGGGACCAAAGCUAGGGGAGCGGAAGGG
rnacentral:rRNA from 1 species